UUACUGCUCGCCGUAAUUCUAAGAGAAAAAUAAAAGCCAGUUUUUCAGUGGUGCUAUUUCAGCUGUGUGUGUUUAAACCAAAUGUGGUUUACACCUUAAUUUUAUAACAAAUCAAAACUGCUGAUACAGAUUUGGCAAGCUUACUUAUCUCACUCACUGGUUUGGCCUGUGAAAUCAUUCAUGUGACUGUUGGAGUUAGUGUGAAACAGGAGAUUCAGAAUUGAGGUAUAUGGACUAGAGGGACCGCAAAAAACUAGAUUCAGAAGACAAGCGAAAGAACAGGGUUUGUUCGAGCAGCUGGCUACAGAAAACAAGAUGCCACAGCAGGAAAGGGCAAUCAGCUGGGAUGACUGAGGAUAAAGAGCAUUUUAAACUCCUUGUAAGUCAGGAGCUACUUCUCUAAGAGGCAAGUCAAACUUUGCUUGCAAGAAAACUAGAAAGCCAAGAACUCCGCCACUAGUUCAUGGCUGAUGUUAGAAAAGCUGCUCAUGCAACUGACCUUAUGUCUAUUAUUAUUUAUCCUAUAAAAUGAGAGCAAUAGUUUAGGACAUAAAUUGCUAGUAAUCAUGCAAAGUACAACAUAAAUAAAAGAAUCACUGACUAUUAAGCCCCGGAAAGAACCAUGGAGUUAUUUUACUUCAUUUUACUUUGCAGGUAAGGAAAUUGAGCAAAGAUAGCAUGGGAACCCAGGUCAUUUAUUCCAAUGUUUAGAACUUUUCCCGCUACGUCACGUUAAGAUGUCAUUUUCACAAAGAAAAGUUACGUUGGAUGCUCUGAAAAGCGACUAGGACAUUCUAAAGUUCACACUGCAUGUUACUUGAAGAAACCAAAUGCUUUGUGUUAAUCAGAAAUUAACAAGCUAAUAACAUCUCAGUUUCUAGUUUAAUGAAUAAAAAGCAACACAAGUUGUUUUCAUUUUUCUAUUCUGACCAAUGAUCCAUCAAGCCCUGCACUUUUGACAGCAGCACUACCCAAGGGAGGGUAUGAUCAUUAUCUUCUAUAAUCUCAACCUUAAAAAAUCAAAGUACACCAAGUAAUCACACACAUUUUGUUUAAUCCAUUUUACUAUGAUAAGUACUAUCAAAAUAAUACUUGAAUCUUUGUAUUUUCAGCCUUUAUUUGUACCAUGAGGAUAAGCAAGCAAAUAGGGCUAUGUAUCAGGCACUGUUCUAAGUACUUUAUUUAUAAAACUUAAUCCUCACAACACUUUGCAAUAAGUACAACUAUCAACCCAGUUUUACAGAUGAGAAAACUAAGGCUCAGAGAAGUUACAUAAGUUGUGCCUAAGGUCAGGCAGAGGCACAGUCUAGCUCAGGCCAUGUUCUUAACCACUAAGCUGUGAUGCCUUUUCAUACACCUCCAACAUGAAAAGCACUUUAUCUGAGACACUUUCAAGCUUCAGUGUAUAUACCUCUAGACAGUUUCCAAACUAGGGAGAAAAUCAUGUUCAUCCAAACUCUAACCUUUAUGCCUAUAUCCUCUCAUAUUCUGAAGAGCCCUAAUUUUUCUAAACAUAUCUGGAAUGCCCUUUAUCCUUUUAUUUUUCUACCUUGGGAUAUUUUUAAAAUAAAAAAUAAAUGAUAUGCUGACCAGAACUGCACAGAUGCCUCAUGGUUUCAGAUAAUGACAGGAAGAUGUCUCCUGUGUAAGUUCCAAUACCUACUUUUCAACUUUGCUCUGAGGUAAGGUAUCCUGGCCACUUUCCCUUUACUACCCCACGAGGAAAAUCUCUCAAAAUCUGACUGCAUCCCAGUCGCUAAGCUAACUGCCCAGUUUGUGCGUUAUGUGAACUUAGGAAGAGAGAUAAGAAAAUUUUCUUAAGACUGAAAGAAUACUUAACAAAAAUCCAGCUUACUAGCCAUAAUUGUCACAACUGAACAUAAGGUUUUAUACUGACUUUAUGGCUUUUCUUCCCAUCCUUCAGCUAAUCUAUCAAGAUCUAUAAUGACAAUAAAGCCAUAUCUUUAGUAUUUACUAGACAUUCCUGAAAAAACUUGUGCUAGGAGGCACUAGAACAAAACAAAACAAAACUGGUAUAUCUGUCAUUUUCUUGCCCUUCUUUCCCCACACGACCGAUCUAGUCUUAAAGCCAUGAGGUGGAGCAAGUGGGCAUGGGGGUGGGGGAGAGCCCAAGAUAGAUAAGGAGGGUCUCCUAGAGAGGAGGCAGCAACAGUGAAGGGAAAUUAGGUACAUUCAGGGGCACUAAUCAAAUAACUAUAUAUUAUAAAGGAUAAUGGAAAUCAGGUUUCUCACUGUCAAAGAAGGAAAUUACAAAUAAGGAAAGGAAGAAAACCAGAAUAAACCCUAAAAUUUUGGAUUAGAACUCGAUAUAAUGUAAACUCAAGGAUUUAAUUAUGUAUUAGAUAUACACGUGUUUUAAGCUAGAAAGAAGUGGUCAAAGAUUGAUGAAGACAUGUCAGAAGGACACAAGACCUAGCCUGAAGAUACUCCUAUGGGCCCAAAUCUGAAACAAUUUGAGCACCAAAAUAAUUGAGAACAGAAAUGAACCAAAAGCCACUGAGAAGAAUAGGAAUUAAUGAAUCCAUACCAGUAAUAAACAAAUGGGGGAAUGAUGCUAUAGAAUGCCAAUUUCCAACUGGUUAAAUGUGGAGUGAGCGCUGAAGGUAGAAAACAAUUUUUGCAACCAUCAUACUAAAUACUGAUUCAGGCAAGAACCAUCCACGGAUGAAUGUUAAAUUUAGGGUGAAGUGUUGAGGAGAAGCAGGACAUUUACGUGGUCUUACAGGGUUUUUUUUGCUUAUCAAAAAUAAAUAUUAACAUCACCAUUGAGGGCAGAUGGAUAUCACAUGCCUCCAGAUGUGAUGCCCUAGAAAAGUCACUUCAUUUAUGUUCUAUCCAACCUGAAAUGAAUAACCCGAAUCUAACCACCAGGAAACAUCAGAAAAAUCCCAAAUGAAAAACAUAUUACUGCAAAAAAGGCAGGCAGGGGAAGAGAAAAGACUUCUUCAAAAAUGUCAGUGUCGUAAACGAUAAAGGCUGUGGAAAUAUUCCAGAAUAAAGUAGUUUAGGAAGACUUGGUACCUAAAGCCAAUACCUGAUCCUAGACUGGAUUCUGUACUAGAAUAAAAAAACUACACAGGACAUGAUUGGGUCAACUAACGGAAUAUGGAUGACAGAUUAGAUAAAAAUAUCAGUAGUAUACUUCUGUAAGAGAAUAUUCCUAUUCUUAGGAAAUAUACACUGUAGUAUUUAGGGGUAAAAAAAGGGUGGCAAUGUACACAACCUACUCUUAAAUGGCUCAGAAAUAAACGUAUGUGUAGAGAGAAUGCAAAUGACAUAAAGUUGUUAAUAGGUAAAUCUGGGUGAAGAAUCUGGGUGUCCCUUGUACCAUUCUUAUCCUUGCAAUUUUAUGUAAGUUUGAAAUUAUUUCCAAAUAAAAACAUUUUUAAAAGACAGUAGCUAGAUUGAAGGGGCUUCCAAUGGCCAAAUUUGGGCGUCAAAAUGAAUAAUCAGGAAUGGACAGACUGUAACAGUUACUUGAGAAUAAGAAUCCAUGAAUCCAACUAGUACUAAAAAAAAGCUCUUCUUUCCAAAAGAAGCCAAAUAGUAAUUGUAGAAAUAACAGAAAAAGAAAGUCACCAUUUAUAUCCACCCUAAUAAUAACUGACUCAGGCAAGAUUCAACCUGGGUGCUAAAACCACUGAGUGAAACUUAAGGAAUGAGAUGUUCACAUAGUGUCAGUCACCCCAUAGAUUUCUUAUUAAUUACAAAGGGGAAAGGGUACCUUUACAAUGGAGAAAUCUGGCAGACACUACCUUACCUAAGCGAUACCAUGUGUCUCCUGAGGUAACCGAUCAGAAUCUAAUCGUGAGAAAACUGCUAAUAAACCAAAGAGACUAUGGAUAUGCAUCAUCCUUGAUUGGCCCCCGGAUCCAACAACUAAAAAGCUAUAAAGGGACAUUGGAACAACUGGGGAAAGACAAAUAAUAUAGAUUAUAUACUAGGUAAAAGCAUUAUAUUAAUGUUGUUUAUUGAGUGUGACUAUUUUUUGGUUAGCAGAAACAUGUCUUUAUUUAUAGUAGAUAAAUGCUUAAGUAUUAAUAAGAAUCACAAUGUCUGCAAGUAACUCUUAAAUGGUUCAGCAAAAUAUGUGUGUGUGAAUGAAGGAGAAAAAAGCAAAUGUGGCAAAAUGUCAACAUCUGGUGAAAUAAAAAAUUUGUUUAAAUAAGGAUUAGAAAGUUUUUCACAUUACUUCAUUUAAGCAACUUAAAACUUUGGAAAGUAGAGGUCAACUACCUACUGCUGAGAAUGAGAAGAAAAGGUGGAAAGAUCAGAGACUUUAGAAGAGUGAGAAAAGGUCUGCUAGGCCUUGGGAAAACUAAGGAAACCUUGGGAGUGGAGCGGGGACAUAUCAAGCAGCCCUGAAAGCCUAACCGAGGCUGGAGAACAGGACAGCGGUUAACACGUUCCAACCUCCUGGCCCCACUGGCCUAGGAUUUCACAACACAAAAAGCUGUAGACUACUUCUCUGGGAAGGUUAUAAAACUGUUUGUGAUAACCAUCAGUCCUGCUACUGAUUAUCUUCAGGGACUGUUUCUAUUUUUUACCCAAAGAACUUUUCCCCUAAAUCUUUGUUUCAAUGAAAAAUGUAUUUUAUACCACUCUAAAACUUGUAUUUUAUCCAGCUUAAUAUCUUAAUUUUACAAAAGAGGCAGCCUGUAUUCAAAGAAGCCCAAUGCUGUUUACCAGGUAAACUUACAAAAGAACUAGUGGAGAGAGACCAGAUACUUCUAAAUACCUGAUGGGAGGGCAGGAAGUUUUGACAUAGGGUGCCCACUGGUAACGAGAGGGGAAAAAAAUCACAAGGAAAUAACAUAUGAAGCUUUGAUCUUACUUUGUCCUCCAAAACUAAGGAUAGGAAACUGUGUCCUUCAAACUCCCCUGAGAGAAGCCCAAAAAUAGUCAUAAAUAUAACCACAGGCCCAGAAUGUAAAAUGUUCACAAACUUAGAAGGAGCCUCCAAAUGGGAUUUUCUCACCCACCUCUUUUGGGGAAAAAAGUGCAUACUAACAAACAAUUAAGAUUAAUUGUUCUUUGUUUUUAGAAGGCUAACCUCUACCAGUAUUAAGAGAAAAGCUGAGUAUAACUUUAAAGAAAAGCCUUACAGCCACCUUAUCUGUGGAAAGGAGCCACGCAAACCCAAAAUGUUCUGUGUAUUUGCACCAAUUCAAAGUUCCCAUCCAAUAUCCAGGCCAACACACACUGCCUUUUUUAAAAUCUAGUUAAACUAAGCACAGUGAUGCCAUCCUUUCUACUUCUGCCUUCUUGGAUCUAAGAGAUCUGUAACAAUUUGAACUUGCCGACAAGGAAAUUCUUUGUCUUUCACCUUGUCUAAAUUUAUAUAUACACCUUACACUAUCUAUAAUUUCCUUCUCUAGUAAGAUCAAUUCUUUCUCAAACUGAUGAAGUAGAAGAUCAUAUUCUAAAAACAGGUAAAUGUAAUCUCUUACCUUUCCAUAAAGAAGUAAACUUUGUGUCAGCUUCUUUGUGGAUCAAAAUCAGAAGACCAAGAGGAACCAGGUUCCAAUUUCUUUUGAACUAAAAAAACUUUUAGACUUGCUUUUAUUCCUCUCUGUUCUGAGCCUUCUGAGCAAAGUGCAUAGCAAGCUCCUUGUUUCUAAUUUCUACAGUGUCUACUCCACUCUCAGCCCUUUGUGGCCUAGUCAGGAGGACAGGAACAUAUCCACCAACCUCUAAAGUAAAUCAACAAGAAGAAGCCAUAAUUAAAGAAGGCAUGGCACUGACCUCUGCACAUUAAAGACCAGAAGACAAUGGAGUAAUGUUUAUACAACUGAGAGAGAACUCAAGUUUUCAUAUGCAAGAGAAACAGAAAAACAUUCUUAGAUUCGUAACAGGGUCUUAGAAAAUAAACCAUUCUUGUAACCACUUAGAAAAUUUCCUCAAAAAACAUGCUUCACCCAAACAAGAAAUAAACUGAAUUAAAGAAACCAGUCUUAAGAGGUCCAAGAAAAAAUUUAGGGCAAAUUCAAACUCUUCAAGGAUGAGGAAAAUCCACAGUAGUUUAUCUGGUGGAUAAUAGCAGCAAUUUAACAUAGCGAGAAAAACAGCCAAUUAUGUUUGAGUUUAUACUUCUUUAAAAAAAAUACCCAUGUGAACUGUGUAAAUCUUAAAAGAAAUGUUCUAUUCAUGCUAAUAUUUAAAUAGAUGACUAUCUUAAUAGAACUGUUACAGAAAAAAGCAUGAAAAAAUUAAACAGAUGCCAUCAUCUGUUAUUGUUAGUCAAAUUACAGAAUUUAGUCCCCUUUAGAUGACAUCUUGACCAAACUACAGAAAUAUUAUAGUAUCUAAUAAAACUACAGAUAGACCCUCUUUUUAAAAUAUUUCAUCACUUUGAAGGUAUAUGUUUCUAAUUCCUUUAUCCAUAUAUUAUUAUCUACAGCAAAAUACCAUCAGGAAAGUGGUUUGAGGAGGCAGCAGAAAGGGAAGAGCUGAGGUGCCUUCUGUUACCUGAUCCCUCAAGGCUUUCCUUGAUGUUGGAAGAGAAGAAGGGUCGGGGUAAAACAUGGAAGAGAUUAAAGAAAGGACCAAAUUCAAAAGAAGUCUUUCCAAAUCCUCUCAACUGGCCCUUGCAGGUAUUCUGGAUGACUGUGGUACAGAAGUGGCUAAUCUGGGGACAAAUCUUCAAUGAAAUGCUCUUACAUGGCAUAGUUUGCUAUAGGAAACCUCUCUACAAAGGCAUAUAUAUUAUAUGUGUGCUUAUUACCCUCUGAUUCAGGAAAUGAUAUGUUAAGUAACUAUAAUUUAUAUAAAGAUGUAUAUAAGGAUGUUUAUCAUGGGGUUGUGUGUCUUUGAUAAAUUUUUUUUAUUAAACUUUGAUUUUU